GAAAUGCGAUAAGUAGUGUGAAUUGCAGAAUUCAGUGAAUCAUCGAAUCUUUGAACGCACAUUGCGCCCCUUGGUAUUCCAUGGGGCAUGCCUGUUCGAGCGUCAUUUGUACCCUCAAGCUCUCUUGGUGUUGGGUGUUUGUCCCGUCUCCGCGCGUGGACUCGCCCCAAAGUGAUUGGCAGCCGGCGUACUGGUCCCGGAGCGCAGCACAUGUCGCGCAAACGAGUGCCUUGGUACGGCGGCGUCCAUAAGCCCCUCUCUCACGCUCUUGACCUCGGAUCAGGUAGGGAUACCCGCUGAACUUAAGC
rnacentral:misc_RNA from 1 species